rnacentral:rRNA from 1 species
GCUUGUCUCAAAGCUUAAGCCAUGCAUGUCUCAGUACAAACUGCAUUAAAGUGAAACCGCAAAAGGCUCAGUAAACCAGUCAUGAUUUACUCGAGUAAACUCACAUACUGAUUUUGGAUAACUGUGGUAAUCCUAGAGCUAAUACAUGCAAUCAAGUCUCGACCAGUUCCACUGGAAAGGACGCUCUUAUUAGAUCAAGACCAAUCGCUCGGCUUGCCGAGCGUUUCCUUGGUGACUCUAGGUAACACAUCAGAUCGCAUGGUCUCUGCACCGGCGACUUAUCUUUCAAAUGCCUGACUUAUCAACUGUCGAUGGUAGACUCUAUGUCUACCAUGGUUGUAACGGGUAACGGGGAAUCAGGGUUCGAUUCCGGAGAGGGAGCCUGAGAAACGGCUACCACAUCCAAGGAAGGCAGCAGGCACGCAAAUUACCCACUCCCGGCACGGGGAGGUAGUGACAAAAAAUAACGAUGCGGGACUCUUUUGAGGCCCCGUAAUCGGAAUGAGUACACUUUAAAUCCUUUAACAAGGAUCCAUUGGAGGGCAAGUCUGGUGCCAGCAGCCGCGGUAAUUCCAGCUCCAAUAGCGUAUAUUAAAGUUGUUGCGGUUAAGGGGACAGGCGGCUUUUAGCCGCACGAGAUUGAGCAAUAACAGGUCUGUGAUGCCCUUAGAUGUCCUGGGCCGCACGCGCGCUACACUGAAGGAAUCAGCGUGUGCCUCCCUAGCCGAAAGGCUCGGGUAAUCCGCUGAACCUCCUGCGUGCUAGGAAUUGGGGCUUGCAAUUGUUCCCCAUGAACGAGGAAUUCCCAGUAAGCGCGAGUCAUAAGCUCGCGUUGAUUACGUCCCUGCCCUUUGUACACACCGCCCGUCGCUACUACCGAUUGAAUGAUUUAGUGAGGUCUUCGGACUGGCGGUAAGCCCUACCGCUCGUCGGUAUCGAUGAACGCUGGAAAGAUGACCAAACUUGAUCAUUUAGAGGAAGUAAAAGUCGUAACAAGGUUUCCCUUGGCAAAUGCUUUCGCAAAAAGCUCGUAGUUGGUUCUGCGUGCUACGCUGCUGGUUCGCCACCUGCUGGUGUAACUGGCAUGUCGUCGCAUGUCCUGUCGGUGGUGUGCGGGAGCCUCGUCUAGGUGACCGCUUGAGCCCUAGGUUCAAGUCGGUUGGCCGGGGGUCCAACCCGUACGCCUUUUCUACCUACCUAGGUGCUCUUUACUGAGUGUCGAGGUAGGCCGACACGUUUACUUUGAACAAAUUAGAGUGCUCAAAGCAGGCUGAAAUUGCCGCCUGAAUAGUGGUGCAUGGAAUAAUAAAACAGGACCUUGGUUCUAUUUUGUUGGUUCUUAGGAACACAAGGUAAUGAUCAAUACGGACUGGCGGGGGCAUUCGUAUUGCGACGUUAGAGGUGAAAUUCUUGGAUCGUCGCAAGACGCACGAGAGCGAAAGCAUUUGCCAAGUAUGUCUUGAUUGAUCAAGAACGAAAGUUAGAGGUUCGAAGGCGAUCAGAUACCGCCCUAGUUCUAACCAUAAACGAUGCCAGCCAGCGAUCCGCCGAUGUUUAUUUAAUGACUCGGCGGGGAGCUUCUCCCCGGGAAACCAAAGCUUUUGGGUUCCGGGGGAAGUAUGGUUGCAAAGCUGAAACUUAAAGGAAUUGACGGAAGGGCACCACCAGGAGUGGAGCCUGCGGUUUAAUUUGACUCAACACGGGAAACCUCACCAGGCCAGGACAUUGGAAUGAUUGACAGAUUGAUAGCUCUUUCUUGAUUCAGUGGGUAGUGGUGCAUGGCCGUUCUUAGUUGGUGGAUCGAUUUGUCUGGUUAAUUCCGAUAACGAACGAGACUCUAGCCUAUUAACUAGACGAUUACCGGUGUCCUUGCCACCGGCGAAAUUAAUUCUUCUU